rnacentral:rRNA from 1 species
UACGGAGGGUGCAAGCGUUGUCCGGAAUCACUGGGCGUAAAGGGCGCGUAGGCGGCUCAUGAAGGCUGUGGUGAAAGUCCGGGGCUCAACCUCGGAUCGGCCGUGGCGACUCGUGGGCUGGAGCACUGUAGAGGCGGGUGGAAUUCCGGGUGUAGCGGUGGAAUGCGUAGAGAUCCGGAGGAACACCGACGGCGCAGGCAGCGUCCUGGCCGCUUGCUGACACUGAGGCACGAAAGCUGGGGGAGCAAACAGG